rnacentral:rRNA from 1 species
UACGAAGGGGGCUAGCGUUGCUCGGAAUCACUGGGCGUAAAGCGCACGUAGGCGGGCUCUUAAGUCGGUGGUGAAAUCCUGGAGCUCAACUCCAGAACUGCCUUUGAUACUGAAGAUCUUGAGUUCGGGAGAGGUGAGUGGAACUGCGAGUGUAGAGGUGAAAUUCGUAGAUAUUCGCAAGAACACCAGUGGCGAAGGCGGCUCACUGGCCCGAUACUGACGCUGAGGCACGAAAGCGUGGGGAGCAAACAGG